rnacentral:rRNA from 1 species
UGAGAGUUUGAUCCUGGCUCAGGACGAACGCUGGCGGCGUGCCUAAUACAUGCAAGUAGAACGCUGAAGAGAGGAGCUUGCUCUUCUUGGAUGAGUUGCGAACGGGUGAGUAACGCGUAGGUAACCUGCCUUGUAGCGGGGGAUAACUAUUGGAAACGAUAGCUAAUACCGCAUAACAAUGGAUGACACAUGUCAUUUAUUUGAAAGGGGCAAUUGCUCCACUACAAGAUGGACCUGCGUUGUAUUAGCUAGUAGGUGAGGUAAUGGCUCACCUAGGCGACGAUACAUAGCCGACCUGAGAGGGUGAUCGGCCACACUGGGACUGAGACACGGCCCAGACUCCUACGGGAGGCAGCAGUAGGGAAUCUUCGGCAAUGGGGGCAACCCUGACCGAGCAACGCCGCGUGAGUGAAGAAGGUUUUCGGAUCGUAAAGCUCUGUUGUAAGUCAAGAACGGGUGUGAGAGUGGAAAGUUCACACUGUGACGGUAGCUUACCAGAAAGGGACGGCUAACUACGUGCCAGCAGCCGCGGUAAUACGUAGGUCCCGAGCGUUGUCCGGAUUUAUUGGGCGUAAAGCGAGCGCAGGCGGUUUGAUAAGUCUGAAGUUAAAGGCUGUGGCUCAACCAUAGUUCGCUUUGGAAACUGUCAAACUUGAGUGCAGAAGGGGAGAGUGGAAUUCCAUGUGUAGCGGUGAAAUGCGUAGAUAUAUGGAGGAACACCGGUGGCGAAAGCGGCUCUCUGGUCUGUAACUGACGCUGAGGCUCGAAAGCGUGGGGAGCGAACAGGAUUAGAUACCCUGGUAGUCCACGCCGUAAACGAUGAGUGCUAGGUGUUGGAUCCUUUCCGGGAUUCAGUGCCGCAGCUAACGCAUUAAGCACUCCGCCUGGGGAGUACGACCGCAAGGUUGAAACUCAAAGGAAUUGACGGGGGCCCGCACAAGCGGUGGAGCAUGUGGUUUAAUUCGAAGCAACGCGAAGAACCUUACCAGGUCUUGACAUCCCGAUGCUAUUUCUAGAGAUAGAAAGUUACUUCGGUACAUCGGUGACAGGUGGUGCAUGGUUGUCGUCAGCUCGUGUCGUGAGAUGUUGGGUUAAGUCCCGCAACGAGCGCAACCCCUAUUGUUAGUUGCCAUCAUUCAGUUGGGCACUCUAGCGAGACUGCCGGUAAUAAACCGGAGGAAGGUGGGGAUGACGUCAAAUCAUCAUGCCCCUUAUGACCUGGGCUACACACGUGCUACAAUGGUUGGUACAACGAGUUGCGAGUCGGUGACGGCGAGCUAAUCUCUUAAAGCCAAUCUCAGUUCGGAUUGUAGGCUGCAACUCGCCUACAUGAAGUCGGAAUCGCUAGUAAUCGCGGAUCAGCACGCCGCGGUGAAUACGUUCCCGGGCCUUGUACACACCGCCCGUCACACCACGAGAGUUUGUAACACCCGAAGUCGGUGAGGUAACCUUUUGGAGCCAGCCGCCUAAGGUGGGACAGAUGAUUGGGGUGAAGUCGUAACAAGGUAGCCGUAUCGGAAGGUGCGGCUGGAUCACCUCCUUUCU